rnacentral:lncRNA from 9 species
AGGCUACCUUGAAUUAAAGGUGUUUCUUCACUCAGUUCUCCAGCCCUUCGACAGGUCCUGAGCGAGUAUCCAAAGGGAUCCGUGCAGCCCAGGGGCCUUGCCGGCCCUGAGCACGUCUCAAACCAUCCCUGGGCAGCUCUCAGAGGUGCUCCCUCCGCCCCGCCGCACCCCGCUUGGCCUCUGCCCCCCGGGUGCGGCUCGUCGCAGGGCGGGGCUGCGGUACUGGGGGCAACUGAGGGGCCCUGCCAGCCGGUGUAGCCACCUCUGCUUUCGAGGGGAAGAGCAGGGCCCGCCUGCGAGGAAGUGCCCAAGUAGGAACUAAAGAGACGCGGGCAGGUUCCAGGCAGAAGGGUUUUCUCUGUAGGUGAGGCUGUGUGUGUGUACGAGCGGUGUCUGCCUGCACGCGCGCGUGUGCGCGGGAGAGAGGACAGGAGGCGCAGUGGGAAGGACCUGUGUGGACCACACCGUCUGCUGAUGUCCCCAUGAGCUGCUUUGGAGGCGGCGCUGGAGAGGGACAGUGUGCAGACAGCGGGCUCUCAGCAUCCUGCAAUUCUCCUCAAGGUGCGCACGAGCAGACCCAGGUGGGCGAGAAGCCCAGCCUCGCUUGCUGCCUCUGAACCACCAGCCCUCACGUGGUGACGUGGCUCCGGGCGAAGCGUGGGAGGCGCCACGGGAAGCUGCCAGGAGAGGGGUCUUGCAGACUCCCGGCUGCCCGCAGCACACAGGAUGCCCUCCGAGGGGACCGUGGGGCACUAGUGGGAACAGGCCCUGGGGUGAGGCACCUGCUCGUUGCUCUGGAGACCGUCCCCUGGCUGCCUUGCAGGUAGGGGUGAUGGGCGGGGGUCCCGAAGCUGCCACAGCACUGGGGGGGGGGGUGGCUGAGA